ACGCUCGACACCUACGGGGAGGCAGCAGUCGGGAAUAUUGCGCAAUGGAGGAAACUCUGACGCAGUGACGCCGCGUAUAGGAAGAAGGUUUUCGGAUUGUAAACUAUUGUCGUUAGGGAAGAUACAAGACAGUACCUAAGGAGGAAGCACCGGCUAACUAUGUGUCAGCAGCCGCGGUAAUCUGAGCGGGCUGGCAAGGC
rnacentral:rRNA from 1 species